CCUGCGGACUCGCGCUGUCAUUAUAAACAACUUUUCGAAUCGCAUGGCCUUGCUCCGGCGAUGGUUUAUUCAAAUUUCUUCCCUAUCACCUUUAGAUGCUAAGGUAUUGUCUUCGCAUGGUGGCCACAGGUAACGGAGGGUUAGGGCACGCCCCCGGAGAAGGAGCCUGAGAAUCGGCUACUACAUCCAAGGAAGGCAGCAGGCGCGCAAAUUACCCAAUCCCGACACGGGGGGGUAGUGACAAUAAAUACUGAUACAGGGCUCUUAUGGUUCUUGUAAUCGGAAUGAGUACAAUUUAAAUCCCUUAACGAGGAACAAUUGGAGGGCAAGUCUGGUGCCAGCAGCUGCGGUAAUUCCAGCUCCAAUAGCGUAUAUUACAGUUGUUGUGGGUAAAAAGCUCGUAGUUGAACCUUGGGCCUGGCUGGCCGGUCCCCCUCACCGGGUGCACUGAUCCAGCCGGGCCUUUCCCUCUGUGGAACCCCAUGGCCUUCACUGGCUGUGGCGGGGAAACAGGACUUUUACUUUGAAAAAAUUAGAGUGCUCCAGGCAGGCCUAU
rnacentral:rRNA from 1 species